AUUGAACGCUGGCGGCAUGCCUUACACAUGCAAGUCGAACGGCAGCACGGGAGCAAUCCUGGUGGCGAGUGGCGAACGGGUGAGUAAUAUAUCGGAACGUGCCCAGUAGUGGGGGAUAGCCCGGCGAAAGCCGGAUUAAUACCGCAUACGACCUGUGGGUGAAAGCGGGGGAUCGCAAGACCUCGCGCUAUUGGAGCGGCCGAUAUCAGAUUAGCUAGUUGGUGGGGUAAAGGCCUACCAAGGCGACGAUCUGUAGCUGGUCUGAGAGGACGACCAGCCACACUGGGACUGAGACACGGCCCAGACUCCUACGGAGGCAGCAGUGGGGAAUUUUGGGACAAUGGGCGCAAGCCUGAUCCAGCCAUGCCGCGUGUGGGAAGAAGGCCUCGGUUGUAA
rnacentral:rRNA from 1 species